rnacentral:rRNA from 1 species
CAAGCCAAAUUAAGGUGAAACCGCGAAAGGCUCAUUAAAUCAGUUAUGGUUCCUUAGAUCGUACCCACAAUUACUUGGAUAACUGUGGUAAUUCUAGAGCUAAUACAUGCAAACAGAGCUCCGACCGGAGACGGAAGGAGCGCUUUUAUUAGAUCAAAACCAAUCGGUGGCGAGCUCGCUCGUCAUCGUCCAACUUGGUGACUCUGAAUAACUUUACGCUGAUCGCACGGUCGUCGCACCGGCGACGCAUCUUUCAAAUGUCUGCCUUAUCAACUGUCGAUGGUAGGUUCUGCGCCUACCAUGGUUGUAACGGGUAACGGGGAAUCAGGGUUCGAUUCCGGAGAGGGAGCCUGAGAAACGGCUACCACAUCCAAGGAAGGCAGCAGGCGCGCAAAUUACCCACUCCCGGCACGGGGAGGUAGUGACGAAAAAUAACGAUACGGGACUCAUCCGAGGCCCCGUAAUCGGAAUGAGUACACUCUAAACCCUUUAACGAGGAUCAAUUGGAGGGCAAGUCUGGUGCCAGCAGCCGCGG